UACAGAGGGGGCUAGCGUUGUUCGGAAUUACUGGGCGUAAAGGGCGCGUAGGCGGCCCGCUAAGUCGAGCGUGAAAUCCCCGGGCUCAACCCGGGAACUGCGUCCGAUACUGGCAGGCUUGAAUCCGGGAGAGGGAUGUGGAAUUCCAGGUGUAGCGGUGAAAUGCGUAGAUAUCUGGAGGAACACCGGUGGCGAAGGCGGCAUCCUGGACCGGUAUUGACGCUGAGGCGCGAAAGCCAGGGGAGCAAACGGG
rnacentral:rRNA from 1 species